GAUGAAGAACGCAGCGAAAUGCGAUAAGUAAUGCGAAUUGCAGAAUUCCAGUGAAUCAUCGAAUCUUUGAACGCACAUUGCGCCCCUUGGUAUUCCGAGGGGCAUGCCUAUUCGAGCGUCAUUAUCACCCCUCAAGCCUAGCUUGGUGUUGGGGCUUGCCGUCAAGGCAGCCUCUAAAAUCAGUGGCAGUGCUGUCAGGCUCUAAGCGUAGUAAUUUUUCUCGCUACAGAAACCUGGUGGACACUCGUCAGAACCCCCCCAUUUUUUAAUGAUUGACCUCGGAUUAGGUAGGGAUACCCGCUGAACUUAAGCAUAUCAAUAAGCGGAGGA
rnacentral:misc_RNA from 1 species